rnacentral:rRNA from 2 species
ACUACGUCUAAGGAUGGCAGCAGGCGCGCAAAUUACCCACUCUCAACGCGAGGAGGUAGUGACGAGAAAUAACGAGACCGAUCUCUUAUGAGGCCGGUCAUCGGAAUGGGUACAAUUUAAACCCUUUAACGAGUAUCUAUGAGAGGGCAAGUCUGGUGCCAGCAGCCGCGGUAAUUCCAGCUCUCAAAAUGCAUAGAAUUAUUGCUGCGGUUAAAAAGCUCGUAGUUGGAUCUGUGCUAGCCGUCCGGUGCACACUUUGUGUGUUACUGGUUUGGUUGGCUUUUCUGCCGGUCUUUCCCCGGCGUUGGCCUUUACCGGUCGGCGUCGGUGGGCUGGCGAGUUUACUUUGAACAAAUCAGAGUGCUUCAAACAGGCGUUUCGCUUGAAUGUUCGUGCAUGGAAUAAUAGAAGAGGAUUUCGGUCCGAUUUUAUUGGUUUUGCUGACCGAGAUAAUGGUUAACAGAGACAAACGGGGCCAUUCGUAUUGCUACGUGAGAGGUGAAAUUCUUGGACCGUAGCAAGACGGACUACAGCGAAAGCAUUUGGCAAGAAUGUCUUCAUUAAUCAAGAACGAAAGUCAGAGGUUCGAAGGCGAUCAGAUACCGCCCUAGUUCUGACCGUAAACGAUGCCAACUAGCGAUCCGCCGGCGGAUUUAUUCGCCCUGGUGGGGAGCUUCCCGGAAACGAAAGUCUUCCGGUUCCGGGGGAAGUAUGGUUGCAAAGCUGAAACUUAAAGGAAUUGACGGAAGGGCACCACCAGGAGUGGAGCCUGCGGCUUAAUUUGACUCAACACGGGGAAACUCACCCGGCCCGGACACCGUAAGGAUUGACAGAUUGAUAGCUUUUUCAUGAUUCGGUGGAUGGUGGUGCAUGGCCGUUCUUAGUUCGUGGAGCGAUUUGUCUGGUUUAUUCCGAUAACGAGCGAGACUCUAGCCUACUAAAUAGUUGGCUCAUUGCUUCUGUGGGCACAACUUCUUAGAGGGAUUUUCGGUGUUCAGCCGCACGAAAUUGAGCAAUAACAGGUCUGUGAUGCCCUUAGAUGUCCGGGGCUGCACGCGCGCUACACUGGCAAAAUCAGCGUGCUUGUCCUUCCCCGAAAGGGGUUGGUAAACCGGUGAAAAUUUGCCGUGAUUGGGAUCGGACAUUGCAAUUAUUGUCCGUGAACGAGGAAUUCCUUGUAGGGGCGAGUCAUCAACUCGCUCUGAAUACGUCCCUGCCCUUUGUACACACCGCCCGUCGCUGCCCGGGACUGAGCCAUUUCGAGAAAUUCGGGGACGGUUAGUGUUCCGGCUUCGGUCGGUAUGCAGACUGGAACCGAUUUAAUCGCAGUGGCUUGAACCGGGCAAAAGUCGUAACAAGGUAGCUGUAGGUGAACCUGCUGCUG